CCUACGGGGGGCAGCAGUGAGGAAUAUUGGUCAAUGGGCGGGAGCCUGAACCAGCCAAGUCGCGUGAAGGAGGAAGGUACUUAGUAUUGUAAACUUCUUUUGUCGGGGAACAAAGGCGGAGACACGUCUCCGGAUGAGUGUACCCGAAGAAAAAGCAUCGGCUAACUCCGUGCCAGCAGCCGUGGUAAUACGGAGGAUGCGAGCGUUAUCCGGAUUUAUUGGGGUUAAAGGGUGCGCAGGCGGGAGAUCAAGUCAGCGGUAAAAUGUCGGGGCUCAACCCCGGCCGGCCGUUGAAACUGGUGUUCUAGAGUGGGAGAGAAGUAUGCGGAAUUCGUGGUGUAGCGGUGAAAUGCGUAGAUAUCAGGAGGAACAUCGGUGGCGUAAGCGCUUUACUGGGCCGUAAUUGACACUGAGGAACGAAAGCCGGGGUAGCAAAUGGGAUUAGAUACCCUUGUAGUC
rnacentral:rRNA from 1 species